UUUUGUGUUCCCUUUAUUUUUUUGAACAGUAUAUAUAUAUAUACUGCUCAAAAAAAUAAAGGGAACACAAAAA